rnacentral:rRNA from 1 species
AGUUUGAUCCUGGCUCAGAUUGAACGCUGGCGGCAGGCCUAACACAUGCAAGUCGAGCGGAUGAAAGGGGCUUGCUCCUGGAUUCAGCGGCGGACGGGUGAGUAAUACGCAGGAAUCUACCUAGUAGUGGGGGAUAACGUUUCGAAAGGGGCGCUAAUACCGCAUACGUUCUGAGGAAGAAAGCAGGGGAUCGCAAGACCUUGCGCUAUUAGAUGAGCUUGCGUCCGAUUAGCUAGUUGGUGGGGUAAAGGCCUACCAAGGCGACGAUCCGUAGCUGGUCUGAGAGGAUGAUCAGCCACACUGGAACUGAGACACGGUCCAGACUCCUACGGGAGGCAGCAGUGGGGAAUAUUGGACAAUGGGGGCAACCCUGAUCCAGCCAUGCCGCGUGUGUGAAGAAGGCCUUCGGGUUGUAAAGCACUUUUGUUGGGGAAGAAACCGGCCGGGUUAAUACCCUGGUUGAAUGACGGUACCCAAAGAAUAAGCACCGGCUAACUUCGUG